rnacentral:rRNA from 1 species
AGAGUUUGAUCCUUGCUCAGAUUGAACGCUGGCGGCAUGCCUUACACAUGCAUGUCGAACGGCAGCACGGAGCUUGCUCUGGUGGCGAGUGGCGAACGGGUGAGUAAUAUAUCGGAACGUACCCUAGAGUGGGGGAUAACGUAGCGAAAGUUACGCUAAUACCGCAUACGAUCUAAGGAUGAAAGUGGGGGAUCGCAAGACCUCAUGCUCGUGGAGCGGCCAAUAUCUGAUUAGCUAGUUGGUAGGGUAAAAGCCUACCAAGGCAUCGAUCAGUAGCUGGUCUGAGAGGACGACCAGCCUCACUGGAACUGAGACACGGUCCAGACUCCUACGGGAGGCAGCAGUGGGGAAUUUUGGACAAUGGGCGAAAGCCUGAUCCAGCAAUGCCGCGUGAGUGAAGAAGGCCUUCGGGUUGUAAAGCUCUUUUGUCAGGGAAGAAACGGUGAGAGCUAAUAUCUCUUGCUAAUGACGGUACCUGAAGAAUAAGCACCGGCUAACUACGUGCCAGCAGCCGCGGUAAUACGUAGGGUGCAAGCGUUAAUCGGAAUUACUGGGCGUAAAGCGUGCGCAGGCGGUUUUGUAAGUCUGAUGUGAAAUCCCCGGGCUCAACCUGGGAAUUGCAUUGGAGACUGCAAGGCUAGAAUCUGGCAGAGGGGGGUAGAAUUCCACGUGUAGCAGUGAAAUGCGUAGAUAUGUGGAGGA